ensembl:lncRNA
AGCACCUGGAUGAGCAGAACAAAGAAGAGUCCCUAAGAAGGGCUGAACUCUGCAACUCUCACCCAGAUGCGCCUCGGUGUGGAAUGCAGCCGGGAACCGCUGGGGACCAGGGAGUCAGCCAUUCCUGAGAGGCACGCGGCCCACCCUGAGCAUGGGCACCGUGUCCUGAGGUCAGCCGGUCCCAGCAGAUCUGCAUGCAGGGCCCGGUGAUUCAAUUAGCGUGACUUCAGUUGUUCUUUUUCAGAGUCACAAACAUCCAAGUCUAAGAGCAUGCGUUCCACCUUUGGCAUGGCAACCAGGAGGUGCAGUUC